AUGAUUUGAGAUCUGAAAACAUAAAUGUUCCAGCACAACACAUCUCAAUCAAUGGCUGUGCAGAUGUCGACGCUUUCAAUUCCCAAAACCUCUCUUCAAAAAAUUCCUUAACUCUUCCCUUCUUCACUCCUCUCCAAAAUAAAUCACAUCAAAUUACAAACAACUCUUCUACUAAUUUGGAAUGUGAUGGAGUUCCUCAAGUCUAGUUUCCUUUGCAUUCUACUUCUCCUCCUCCUCUUCGGGCCGGGCUUUUCAGCAGGGAGAAUGCAUGCGAAGAAUAUGGGAUCAGAGGUUUACGAUAUUGAUUACAGAGGGCCGGAAACGCACACAUACAACCCGCCGCCGAAUCGGGCCGGCCCAAGAAUCCCUCAUCAACCCACCUCGGCCCGUUUCAAGUCCAAACGGAAUGUAAGGAGACAUAUUGAUAGGAAAAAUUCUAGAUCGUGAGUUUGUGAUGACUCAAAUGAUCAUUCAUACUAUUAUUCUCUCUUUUUUUUUUUGAAAAUGUCAUAUAUAAUUUGCAUUUGUGUGAAUUUAAAAAAUUGGGUUUCAGUAUAGUUUAUGCAACGAGAUUUGGAAUCUUUUAAAAUAUGACUUGAAUUUUGCUUGGUUUUUUAAAAUCUCAAUUUUGUACUCCAUGGUUUCAGUUUUGGUCUGUGACCGAGAAUUAAACAUAGAAAAAUUAAAUCAACUUGUUUGAAUUUUGAAUAA